UACGGGGGGAGCAAGCGUUGUUCGGAUUUACUGGGCGUAAAGGGCGCGUAGGCGGCCACCGCAAGUCGACUGUGAAAUCUCCGGGCUUAACCCGGAAAGGUCAGCCGAUACUGCGGGGCUAGAGUGCAGAAGGGGCAACUGGAAUUCUCGGUGUAGCGGUGAAAUGCGUAGAUAUCAGGAGGAAUACCGGUGGCGAAAGCGACUCUCUGGGACGGUACUGACGCUGAGACGCGAAAGCGUGGGGAGCGAACAGG
rnacentral:rRNA from 1 species